AGGGUUCGAUUAUGGCUCAGAACGUACGCUGGCGGCACGCCUAACACAUGCAAGUCGAACGAAGUAGCAAUACUUAGUGGCAGACGGGUGAGUAACAUGUAGGUAUCUACCCUUUGGCCUGGAAUAACACGAGGAAACUUGUGCUAAUACCGGAUAAGUCUUUACGGAGAAAGCUUUAUGCACCAUUGGAUGAGCCUGCACUUGAUUAGUUUGUUGGUGGGGUAAUGGCCUACCAAGACUGUGAUCAAUAGCUGAUUUGAGAGGAUGAUCAGCCACAUUGGGACUGAGACACGGCCCAAACUCCUACGGGAGGCAGCAGUGGGGAAUCUUGCACAACGGAGGAAACUCUGAUGCAGCGAUGCCGCGUGAGUGAAGAAGGCCCUUGGGUUGUAAAGCUCUUUCGUCGGGGAAGGAAAUGACUGUACCCGAAUAAGAAGGUCCGGCUAACUUCGUGCCAGCAGCCGCGGUAAUACGAAGGGACCUAGCGUAGUUCGGAAUUACUGGGCUUAAAGAGUUCGUAGGUGGUUGAAAAAGUUAGUGGUGAAAUCCCAGAGCUUAACUCUGGAACUGCCAUUAAAACUUUUCAGCUAGAGUAUGAUAGAGGAAAGCAGAAUUUCUAGUGUAGAGGUGAAAUUCGUAGAUAUAGAAAGAAUACCAAUUGCGAAGGCAGCUUUCUGGAUCAUUACUGACACUGAGGAACGAAAGCAUGGGUAGCGAAGAGGAUUAGAUACCCUCGUAGUCCAUGCCGUAAACGAUGUGUGUUAGACGUUGGAAAUUUAUUUUCAGUGUCGCAGCGAAAGCGAUAAACACACCGCCUGGGGAGUACGACCGCAAGGUUAAAACUCAAAUGAAUUGACGGGGACCCGCACAAGUAGUGGAGCAUGUGGUUUAAUUCGAAGAUACGCGCAGAACCUUACCAACACUUGACAUGUUCGUCGCGACUCUAAGGGAUUAGAGUUUUCGGUUCGGCCGGACGAAACACAGGUGCUGCAUGGCUGUCGUCAGCUCGUGUCGUGAGAUGUUGGGUUAAGUCCCGCAACGAGCGCAACCCUCACUUUUAGUUGCCAUCAUUAAGUUGGGCACUCUGAAAGAACUGCCAGUGAUAAGCUGGAGGAAGGUGGGGAUGACGUCAAGUCCUCAUGGCCCUUACGUGCUGGGCUACACAUGUGCUACAAUGGUAUCUACAACAGGAAGCAAGACUGCGAGGUCAAGCAAAUCCUUAAAAGAUACCUCAGUUCGGAUUGCACUCUGCAACUCGAGUGCAUGAAGCUGGAAUUACUAGUAAUCGUGGAUCAGCGUGCCACGGUGAAUGCGUUCCCGGGUCUUGUACACACCGCCCGUCACACCAUGGGAGUUGGUUCUACCUUAAGGCAAGGUUUAAAACCCUUGACCACGGUAUAGUCAGCGACCGGGGUGAAGUCGUAACAAGGUAACCAAGGG
rnacentral:rRNA from 1 species